CCCAGACUAAACACAAGGAGUCUUGUGGAGGUGCAAGAAGAAGGAGACAAGGUUUGUCAAGGGCAGCUCUUCAGUGGCCUCCUUCUCCUAAGGCUGAAUUGAAGGAAACACAAGCUGGAACAGAAUUAUAUGAUGACCGCCAAGCUCUCCACCCAGGAAAGUCAGACAGAGAAGUUGGAUGUUGCCUUGUGUACGUGCUGAAGCUGUCAGCAUGAAGACCCAGAGGCCAUCAAGGACAGAAAUUGUGAAGGCAGUUCAGCAGGAUGGGAUGACGGAUCAGAAAUGCUUUAGCCAGAUAACAGCUAACAAUGCAAACUGCUCCUAGGUACGCCGUCAGCUGGAGCAAGAUAGAAUUCCACGACAUGAGCUGAAUGAGCCCUUCUCCCAAAUGCACUUCAAGGAUCAUUCUCAUGAUGGAAAAUGAUAUUUAUCAGAGAGGGCUAGGCUAGAAGACUAAAAGCACAUCUUUGAUACGCUACACUUCCAUUUGCUUUCUUAUUUUUUUUAAAUGCUCUGGGCUCUCUCAUAAUGAACACCGUUACAAAAUAAGUCAAUGAGAUUUUAUGGAUUUUAUGGAUAAACCCAUAAGGGAAAUCCACUGUCAAACUUAGAAAUUAUCCUCCACUACCUUGUCACAACAGCUUCCAAAUAUUAAAAGCAGAGACCAGGAAAAACUAGACCAUUAAAAGUGGAAAAAAAUAUAUAGAUGAGUCUGAAGAAGGAGGAAUUUCAGAUGAGAUAUCAGAGGAAUGUCAGGAAAAUGCUGCAUGUCGCUGCUCCGUAUGAAGAUGUACAAUGGCUUCACAGCCAGGGAAGGCCCUGUAUGGCAGGACAUUUUAAUUGCAACAGCAGUGUACUGUUUCUCCAAGGGUCAGUGUCUGCAUAAACAGAAACCUUCUCUCAUUGUCUCAGGUCUCUCAGGUCAACCUUCCACAACAGGUUCAUUAUCUCCCAUUGGGAAAGAUUUCUGUCCCUCAGGCUGGUUCACUGUGUGUGUACCAGCCACUCCUUCACACACAGGAAUCAACAAGGAACAUCUCAAAACUGACCCCCGUUCUCACCUACCACUUCCUAACCAUGCCUACCUCGUGAAGUUCAACAAGGUCAAGUGCAAGGCCCUGCAUCUGGGUUGGGGCAAUCCCAAGCACAGAUAUAGGUUGGGCAGAGAAUGGCUUGAGGGCAGCCCUGAGGAGAAGGAUUUGGGGGUGUCAGUUCAUGAAAGAUUCAGCAUGAGCCGGUAACAUGCACUUGCAGCCCAGAAGGCCAGCCAUAUCCUGGGUUGCAUCAUGAGAAGCAUGACCAGCAGGCUGAGGGAGGUGAUUCUGCCCCUCUGCUCUGCUCUUGUGAGACCCCACCUGGAAUAUUGU